AGUCCGUUGCCUCGGCGGGAUCUCUUGCCCCGGGCGCGUCGCAGCCCCGGAUCCCAUGGCGCCCGCCGGAGGACCAACCAAACUCUUUCUCUCUCUCCGUCGCGGCUCCCGUCGCGGCUCUGUUUUAUUUUUGCUCUGAGCCUUUCUCGGCGACCCUAGCGGGCGUCUCGAAAAUGAAUCAAAACUUUAACUUUCAACAACGGAUCUCUUGGUUAUGCUCUUGGUUCUGGCAUCGAUGAAGAAGGCAGCGAAAUGCGAUAAGUAAUGUGAAUUGCAGAAUUCAGUGAAUCAUCGAAUCUUUGAACGCACAUUGCGCCCGCCAGUAUUCUGGCGGGCAUGCCUGUCCNNNNNUCAUUUCUUCAACCCUCGAACCCCUCCGGGGGGUCGGCGUUGGGGAUCGGCCCCUCACCGGGCCGCCCCCGAAAUCCAGUGGCGGUCUCGCCGCAGCCUCCUCCUGCGCAGUAGUUUGCACACUCGCACCGGGAGCGCGGCGCGGCC
rnacentral:rRNA from 1 species